rnacentral:rRNA from 1 species
AGGAUGAACGCUGGCGGCGUGCCUAAUACAUGCAAGUCGAGCGGUAAGGCCACUUCGGUGGUACACGAGCGGCGGACGGCUGAGUAACACGUAGGAACGUACCCCAAACUGAGGCAUAAGCACCAGAAAUGGUGUCUAAUACCGCAUGUGCUCUUCGGAGUAAAGCUACGGCGGUUUGGGAACGGCCUGCGCAUGAUUAGCUUGUUGGUGAGGUAAAAGCUCACCAAGGCGACGAUCAUUAGCUGGUCUGAGAGGAUGACCAGCCAGACUGGGACUGAGAACGGCCCAGACUCCUACGGGAGGCAGCAGUAGGGAAUUUUCCACAAUGGGCGAAAGCCUGAUGGAGCAACGCCGCGUGCAGGACGAAGGCCUUCGGGUCGUAAACUGCUUUUAUCUGUGACGAUUAUGACGGUAGCAGAUGAAUAAGGAUCGGCUAACUCCGUGCCAGCAGCCGC